CAAAUGUCCAAAAAAUGGCAUUAUUUUGGGAUACCCCAGUAAUGAAACAAAUUGACGCAACUGUAAAAAAUCUUUCUGCCGGAGCACAAGAUUUGAUAAAGAAAUUUUUAGAAGCUUGGAACAUCUUUAUGACAGGAAUCAGUGGACCAUCAAGUGAUUCCACUACAAUGGUACCCACGGAAGCGUCAUAAAAUGUUUGAAGCUGAAGACUGAUGUGCUCGAGAACUUUACAAAUGAUACACUGUUCAAAGGAUAAUUAGUACUGUAUUGCCUUCGUUACAAAUUAUUGAAUCUAUAUAUGCAUACAUGUUGAGGACACUGAAAAUUUUUUACAAUA